rnacentral:lncRNA from 1 species
AACAUAAUGACGACAGCGACUACCACUGCCAAAUGAGAGAAGAGGGAGAAUAUGCAGAAGAGGCACAGGCAAAGGCAGGCUGAACGUCAGUUGGAGGCAGAGGCAGGCUGAAACCGCAGCGUCGGCAGAUGGAGGCAAAAGGCAGAGCACCAAGAGGCGGCCUGGCAGGCAGGUAGCAAGGCAGCCAGCGAAGCCAGACGAGCUCUCAGGCUCCACUUCAGCGGCGCUGUACGUAGGCCCGUCCGUCCACUUCCCACUGAGGUUUCUGCACUGCCAGAGCGGUAUUUAUGUGGGGGAUGGUGGGGAUAGAUUGUUGAUAGAGCCUGGUGGGACGGUGCAAUGGUGGGUUGCUGUUGCUCCAUCUCCACGACCAGGUUAACGAGGUUAGACGCAUAACUUCCUGUUCCUUCUGUUUCCAGACAGGUUUACAAAACUGUGCUUAAUGUUAGCACCAGCAGAACCCAAGUAUGACCCCGUACAUUUAUAAGUUAUUCCAAGAUGUGAGGCGAUUCCGAAACUAGGUUGAGAGAACUAUUUCGUUUUGUUGUUAAGUGUAAUCCAAGCUUUAAUAUAAGAGAUCCGUUUUCACAGUAAUCCAAACUCCGAACGGUUUACAGUUGUUUUCUGUGCACACUGAAACGAAGCAGCAGCUGUCACAGGUACUAGCGGAAAAACACAGCCAGCCGAGAACAGACACACACACACUUAUAUUUAUGUAUACAUCUGUUCCGUUAAAGCCAAAGAUAACGUUUGUCUGGGUCUCUCGAGCCGCAAGACUUUUUUUGGCAAAACAAACACACACACGCGCAAAGGCACAGACACAGCUCGGAGAUAAUCAUGACUGUCGGAAAACGAUAUUAAGAGCACCACACACGGACAUCUGAUGCCAGCAUGUAUUCAUACAUAUUUACAUAUGCAUAUGUGCUCAUUUGCGUGAGAGAGGGAGAGGCCAAUAAACAAAUCAACAAAAACUAAACAAAACAAAUUACAAAUUCCGUGUAAAUGAACUUUGGGGGAAGUAGCGCGACGAACGCGUUUUGAAUUCCGUUUUAGCGUUUUGUUUGUC